AAGUUGUGUAGUGCGAUCGGUGGAUGCCUUGGCACCAAGAGCCGAUGAAGGACGUGGGAGCCUGCGAUAAGCCCUGGGGAGCUGGCAACCGAGCUGUGAUCCGGGGGUGUCCGAAUGGGGAAACCCAGCACCAGUCAUGUGGUGUUACCGCUGUCUGAAUGAAAUAGGGCAGUCGGAGGGAACGUGGGGAAGUGAAACAUCUCAGUACCCACAGGAAGAGAAAACAAAAGUGAUUCCGAGAGUAGUGGCGAGCGAAAUCGGAUGAG
rnacentral:rRNA from 1 species